rnacentral:sRNA from 1 species
GGUAGAAUUACAGACACACAACCCAUUACUGGACCAACAACGAGGAGUUUGGUAUCAAUCUCAAUAUUGUAAUUAUAAUGCCAAGUGUACUGAGCUUCAGUUUCAGUAGCAACAAUUGCUUGGAUAUUCUUUUUUAAUUUUUAGGCUGGCCACCAUAGAUUAGUUAAUCCGUACAUGGUUCAGUUCAAAGCAACAAAGUAUCUGCUGUCAAUGAAGCUCUGAAUGAAAUUUUUGUCGAGGAAGAGGACUAUGACAGACUUCGAGAAUCAAUAGAUUUGCAUGACAACUUUUAUCAGAUGUCUUGCACAGAAGAUUGAGAAGCGUGAACUUCUUGAGAUGAGGCGUGUUGCUGCACACAAGAAAGCAGGAAGUUGGAAGCAACCCAUUGUUUUGUCGAAAAAGGACAAUCUUUAAAAGGACUGCAUGGCAACAUGCUCUCAAUCUGGUGAUCGUGAA